rnacentral:rRNA from 1 species
UACGAAGGGGGCUAGCGUUGUUCGGAUUUACUGGGCGUAAAGCGUGCGCAGGCGGUGAUGUAAGACAGGUGUGAAAUCCCCGGGCUUAACCUGGGAACUGCAUUUGUGACUGCAUCGCUGGAGUGCGGCAGAGGGGGAUGGAAUUCCGCGUGUAGCAGUGAAAUGCGUAGAUAUGCGGAGGAACACCGAUGGCGAAGGCAAUCCCCUGGACCUGUACUGACGCUCAUGCACGAAAGCGUGGGGAGCAAACAGG